GCCUGAUCUCUUAGAUGCAUAAAAUAAUUGCAUUUAAUAUGAAAUUAUUAUGUACAAUUGCGUAUAAGCUAUACAUAUAAAAGCAACAACAAUAAUUAAUUAGUAGCUUCAUAAGGCCAUUUUCAGUUUCUUUUAUUGCCUCAAAGUUUUUAGUAACUUCAGAAACUGAGAUGUUCUCAUUUUCUUUUAAAAAUCUACGGAUCUGUCGUUUUCACAGUAGAUAUUGAAAGAAAACUUCCAUGCAGUUUUCAUGAACAAGACUUGUGCAAAGGCUCGAUUCCGACUAUCAGGAAAUGUGAAAGCACCCAGAACCUCUCUUGAAAAAACAUCUACCACUCGUGCUCACAUGAAUAUCAAACCUAAAUAUCGCAGUCUGAAAACCAGCAUAGUCUUAAUCUCAUUGCUUAUCCCUUCCCAAAAUUCUCAGGGCAGAUACAUGAGAAUAAUUUGUCAAGGGAAGUUGUUCAAGAGCCACUGCAUGGUAUUGCAAAAACAAUUUUGAAGUAGGUGCAGUUUAGAGCAAUCUUUUACUGUUAAUAAAACAGCUGAGGCUACCAAAAAGUCUUAUCUUUAGUGUAGUAGCACUUGGACUAGAAGAAAAAAAACUCCCAGCAGUCAUAUCCCUCAGGGCCAUAUGCACUCACACACACGUGUUCAUAUUCUGAAUAAGGACAGAGGACCAAUGGAUCACUGCAAUGUCAUAUAUUCGCAGUAUAAAACAUGUAACCUGGGUGUACACUGGGAUUUUUACACUGGGUUUUGAGAUUUGUAGCUGUUUGGACCUGUUCUCUCUAAACCUUCUCUCUCUUCUCAUCCCAGCCUGAAAUGGAGCCAAUGCACAGCAGGCAGUUAUGUUCUGGUGUCAUUAAAGGUAGAGAAUGGGCAGCAGUAGCAGCUGACUGUAAAUCAGAGUGGUUUUGCUGUGGGGGGAAGGAAUACUUCUUCACAGUCAGCAUUUGAUUCAGUUCUUAUGUGAAGAGCAGAAUCAGAAAUACAAGGGUUUGGCCAUGGUGCCUUGGCUUAUUCCCACAGGAUUAGGGUUGCCUAAGAAAUUUCCCUUCAAACUUCGGAUAAAUUCAUGGCUAUCUAAUUCCCAGGAUCAGGUAGAGGGAGGUACAUUGUGCUCAAUAAUGCAAGGCUUUUCCUUUGACUCGUACACUGAAAAGUCUUGAAAGUUUCUGAAGGAUUCUGUCUGAACUAACACAACCUACAAGAAAAAUUAUGUAUUUCCACAGCUUGAGUUCCAGACUAAACUCAGCAGCUGGAAUCCAUAGUGUCUUUGAGUUGGAUCUUUCACACUCCCAGGAAAAUCACCGUCAUUUUGCAGCCAGCAAACAUCUCCUGGGAAAAAACUGACUCUGGAUCCAUCACGCAAUGCUACAUCUGCCCCAUUGUACCAUUUUCAGUUUUUGAUCUUCUCUGCUUCUCCUUUAUAAUGCUAUUUACCCAGUAAGAAGCAAACUUGUCUCAACAGUCUCACUGAAAAGUGAGUCAAGGAUGUUGCAUGGCAGCAUCAAGAGUAAUAAUUAACACUAUGAAAACAAAAUUUCAACUGCUAAUUCCCUGUUAGGAGAUUUAACAAAUAACAUUAGCCUUGAGCAUAACUAAGUACAUUUUAACAUGGUUCUUUACAAUAGGGGUUCAAUUACCCAUAGCUGAUUUUUUUCACUGUAGUCAUAAAUUUAAGACCAUACUAAUGAGUCAGUGAAGAGCAAACUGAUGGGUAUUUUCAUUCAGACUAGAGCUGUUAAGAACAUUUUCAAUUAAACAUUCCUUCUUCUGAAAAUGCAUUUUUGUCAGAGUGAAAAUGCUUUGUAGUUAAAUAUCGAUUUCAAGGAUAUUAUCAAGAAAAAGGUUUCAGGGAUCAGGAUGGAUUCUCCAAGCACCUCAGAGAAGAAACAAAAAAAACUUCACUCUUUUCAGUGCAGAUCUGGUAUUUUAACACAGGUCUGUUUCAGAAAAAGAAGUUUGAAGAACCGUGAUUCUUCCAGCACAAACCAGAAAAGUCUUCUCAAAACUUCUGUGAAAAUGGAGUUCUUUAAUCAGCUCUAGCACUAACUUCCUACUCUAUCUGUCUGGGAAAUAAAUCCUGUCAUUACCAGUGGAUUUCAUCAGGUUGUUUUGCCAUUCCCUGGACAUCUGAUGUAAAGAAAAAAGCAGCAAAUGGGAGCACAGGCAAAUGAGCUUCCAGCCUUCUCCAUGGAUCUGUUGACUCAGCUCAACCCCAGAGCUAAAGAAUGUGAAGAAAAGGAAAAAGAAAGAAUGAGAAAACUUCUAUCUUCUUUCCAGCGUUCCAGAAAAGGGGAGGGACGAGCAAGUAAUGUGGAGAACAACUAAGAUGAAAUGUGAUGUUGAAAUGAAUAAGUAAGUUCAUUAUAUUCUACAACAUGAUAAGACUUUGCAGGCCUGAUUACAACAUUAAGGGACGGUGCUGCAAUAUUAUAAAUUACAGGGUGAAGCACUCCUGUUUCUGUCUCUAUAUUUCUAAGGUGGGAGAAGUUAAUUAUUUUUAUAGGUCUAGAUAUUGCAAGGAUGAGGAUAUCAGAAUAUCUUGUCAUCAACUGUAAAGACAGCAGUGGAGAAGAGGAGGACGGGAAGGGGGGAACCACCCCGUUUAAAGAAAAUUAUUAUAAAAAUACUAAAAAUGAUAUAUAGAUUUUUUGACCUACAUCCAUCAUUUUUACAUGCCUAGGUACUUCAUGCCUUGUCUCCAUAAACCAUCACUCUGUUAUUUUUCAUGAGGCUGAGAGUAAAUGGCCAAAACUUAAGGCUUGGAAAUAAAAAAAAGAAUAAAUACAUAUAUAAAUAAAAUCAACAUGAGCGAAAAGGUUAA